AACGCACCUUGCGCCCUUUGGCUAUUCCGAAGGGCAUGCCUGUUUGAGUAUCAUGAACACCUCAACUCUCAUGCUUUGCCAUGAUGAGCUUGGACUUUGGGGGUCUUGCUGGCCUGUGGUCAGCUCCUCUCAAAUGAAUCAGCUUUCCAGUGUUUGGUGGCAUCACAGGUGUGAUAAAUAUCUACACUUGUGGUUUCCUGCCAAGUAACCUUCAGCAAUGGGGGUUUGCUGGAGCUCAUAAACGUCUCUCCUCAGCGAAGACAGCUUUGUAAAUGUUUGAUCUCAAAUCAGGUAGGACUACCCGCUGAACUUAA
rnacentral:misc_RNA from 1 species